UACGAAGGGGGCUAGCGUUGCUCGGAAUUACUGGGCGUAAAGCGCACGUAGGCGGCUUCUUAAGUCGGUGGUGAAAUCCUGGAGCUCAACUCCAGAACUGCCUUCGAUACUGGGAAGCUCGAGUCCGGGAGAGGUGAGUGGAACUGCGAGUGUAGAGGUGAAAUUCGUAGAUAUCGGGAGGAACACCAGUGGCGAAGGCGGCCAUCUGGGACAACACUGACGCUGAAGCACGAAAGCGUGGGGAGCAAACAGG
rnacentral:rRNA from 1 species